UGGGGAAUUUUGGACAAUGGGGGAAACCCUGAUCCAGCCAUCCCGCGUGUGCGAUGAAGGCCUUCGGGUUGUAAAGCACUUUUGGCAGGAAAGAAACGUCAUGGGUUAAUACCCCGUGAAACUGACGGUACCUGCAGAAUAAGCACCGGCUAACUACGUGCCAGCAGCCGCGGUAAUACGUAGGGUGCAAGCGUUAAUCGGAAUUACUGGGCGUAAAGCGUGCGCAGGCGGUUCGGAAAGAAAGAUGUGAAAUCCCAGAGCUCAACUUUGGAACUGCAUUUUUAACGAACGUGCUAGAGUGUGUCAGAGGGAGGUGGAAUUCCGCGUGUAGCAGUGAAAUGCGUAGAUAUGCGGAGGAACACCGAUGGCGAAGGCAGCCUCCUGGGAUAACACUGAAGCUCAUGCACGAAAGCGUGGGGAGCAAACAGG
rnacentral:rRNA from 1 species